rnacentral:rRNA from 1 species
CCAAUAGCGUAUAUUAAAGUUGUUGCAGUUAAAUAGCUCGUAGUUGAACUUCGGGGUCUACCCAUUGGUCAGGCUUAAUUGUCUGUACUGGUGAGAUGGAUCUCUACAUUCUGAGGAACUUUCAUGCCAUUUAUUUGGUGUGAUUGGAAAUCAGGACUGUUACUUUGAAAAAAUUAGUGUGUUUAAAGCAGACUAUCGUCUGAAUACAUUAGCAGGGAAUAAUGAAAUAGGACGGACUGAUUCUAUUUCGUUGGUUUCUAGGAUCACCGUAAUGAUUAAUAGGGAUAGUUGGGGGCAUUAGUAUUCAAUUGUCAGAGGUGAAAUUCUUGGAUUUAUUGAAGACUAACUACUGCGAAAGCAUUUGCUAAGGAUGUUUUCAUUAAUCAAGAACGAAAGUUAGGGGAUCGAAGACGAUCAGAUACCUUCGUAGUCUUAACCAUAAACUAUGCCGACUAGGGAUCGGACGAAGUUAAUUUUAUAAUGACGCAUUCUGCACCUUACG